rnacentral:rRNA from 1 species
AAACCAACAGGGAUUGCCUCAGUAACGGCGAGUGAAGCGGCAACAGCUCAAAUUUGAAAUCUGGCCUCGGCCCGAGUUGUAAUUUGCAGAGGAUGCUUCUGGCGCGGCGCCUUCCGAGUUCCCUGGAACGGGACGCCACAGAGGGUGAGAGCCCCGUAUGGUCGGACUGCCUAGCCAGUGUGAAGCUCCUUCGAAGAGUCGAGUAGUUUGGGAAUGCUGCUCAAAGCGGGAGGUAUACGUCUUCUAAAGCUAAAUACCGGCCAGAGACCGAUAGCGCACAAGUAGAGUGAUCGAAAGAUGAAAAGCACCUUGAAAAGGGGGUUAAACAGUACGUGAAAUUGUUGAAAGGGAAGCGCCUGUGACCAGACUUGCGCCGGGCGGAUCAUCCAGCGUUCUCGCUGGUGCGCUCCGCCCGGCACAGGCCAGCAUCGGUUCUGGCGGGGGGAUAAAGGCGGCGGGAAUGUGGCUCCCUCGGGAGUGUUAUAGCCCGCCGCUCAAUGCCCCCGCUGGGACCGAGGACCGCGCUUCGGCAAGGAUGCUGGCGUAAUGGUCACCAGCGAC